AGGGAGCAGCCUGUUCUGCCAAAUCACACAAGGGCAUGUGUUUUCAUGACAUUAUUGCUUUUGAGUGUGCUGGCCUAGCAAUAAUAUGAUUUUUUUUUCCUAAGUGGAAAUUGUAAUAUUUACGUAUUAAUACCUCUGUUUAAGGUUCAUUUUGAACGCCUUGGUGACCCUAUGUUUUUUUCUUUGUUUUUUUUGUUUUGUUUUGUUUUGUUUUUUUGUUUUUUUUUUGAGUUGAAGUCUUCCUCUGUUGCCCAGGCUGGAGUGCAGUGGCGCAAUCUUGGCUCACUGCAACCUUCGCCUCCCGGGUUGAAGCAAUUCUUCUGCCUCAGCCUCUCGAGUAGCUGGGAGUCCAGGCACCCGCCAACACGUCUGGCUAAUUUUUGUAUUUUUAGUAGAGACAGGGUUUCACCAUCUUGGCCAGGCUGGUCUUGAACUCCUGACCUCAUGAUCCACCCGUUUUGGCCUCCCAAAAUGCUGCGAUUACAGGCGUGAGCUACUGCACCCGGCAACCCUAUGUUUUUUUCUAAGAAUAUAGUGUCCCUUGCCCCCUGCUACAAGCCUUACCCAGUGUUACAUAAUUUAUUGUAAUUAAAUUGUUUAUUAAUGAUACAUUCUUGCUGUAGAAGAAAACGUGUCCUUUUGGGCUCAGUACAGUAUAUGUUUCUUAAGUAAGAGGGAUCAUAUUAAACCAGCUACUUAAUGUGAAGCAGAUAGCCAGUGUUCUCCAUGUCCAAUCUUAGGGAGGGUAAUUUUUGUUUUGGCUGUGUAAUUAUGGUUUGAGGCAGCCCAUUAAUCGCAUAUUUCAGCUGUCAAAUAGAAAUUUGGCCCAGAAAGGAAUACACUUUGGCUUUACAAAACUGCUUAUUUUCAAAUUUUUAAAUGGGGACAAAAACGAAUAUGCUAUAUUAUAUACUUUUAUUUAUGUAAUUUUUUUUCUCAGCAACUUUUUCUCUUUUGAAAAUGCAAGAGCCUGAAAAACAUUGUGAAUAUACUUGUAACAUUGCAAAGCUAUUUCACCAGAGUAAAGAUAUUUUGGUUGUUCAUAUACGAGUGUGUUCGUUGUUUAUCUAAUAAAUUGUUAAAACUA
rnacentral:sRNA from 1 species